UACGGAGGGGGCUAGCGUUGUUCGGAAUUACUGGGCGUAAAGCGCACGUAGGCGGCUUUGCAAGUUAGAGGUGAAAGCCCGGGGCUCAACUCCGGAAUUGCCUUUAAAACCUGCAUCGCUAGAAUUGUGGAGAGGUAAGUGGAAUUCCGAGUGUAGAGGUGAAAUUCGUAGAUAUUCGGAAGAACACCAGUGGCGAAGGCGACUCACUGGACACGUAUUGACGCUGAGGUGCGAAAGCGUGGGGAGCAAACAGG
rnacentral:rRNA from 1 species